rnacentral:rRNA from 1 species
AACGAACGCUGGCGGCAGGCUUAACACAUGCAAGUCGAACGCAUCCUUCGGGGUGAGUGGCAGACGGGUGAGUAACGCGUGGGAAUCGACUCAGUUCUGCGGAACAACAGUUGGAAACGACUGCUAAUACCGCAUACGCCCUACGGGGGAAAGAUUUAGCGGAAUUGGAUGAGCCCGCGUUGGCUUAGCUAGUUGGUGAGGUAAUGGCUCACCAAGGCGACGAUCCAUAGCUGGUCGGAGAGGAUGAUGAGCCACACUGGGACUGAGACACGGCCCAGACUACUACGGGAGGCAGCAGUGGGGAAUAUGGGACAAUGGGCGCAAGGCUGAUCCAGCCAUGCCGCGUGAGUGAUGAAGGCCUUAGGGUUGUAAAGCGCUUUCAGUGGGGAAGAUAAUGACGGUACCCACAGAAGAAGCCCCGGCUAACUUCGUGCCAGCCGCCGCCGUAACAC